CAGCAGCCGCGGUAAUACGUAGGUGGCAAGCGUUGUCCGGAUUUAUUGGGCGUAAAGCGAGCGCAGGCGGUUCCUUAAGUCUGAUGUGAAAGCCCCCGGCUCAACCGGGGAGGGUCAUUGGAAACUGGGGAACUUGAGUGCAGAAGAGGAGAGUGGAAUUCCAUGUGUAGCGGUGAAAUGCGUAGAUAUAUGGAGGAACACCAGUGGCGAAGGCGACUCUCUGGUCUGUAACUGACGCUGAGGCUCGAAAGCGUGGGUAGCAAACAGGAUUAGAUACCCGUGUAGUCCCUGUCUCUUAUAU
rnacentral:rRNA from 1 species